rnacentral:rRNA from 1 species
GAUGAACGCUGGCGGCGUGCCUAAUACAUGCAAGUCGAGCGAACAGAUGAGGAGCUUGCUCCUCUGACGUUAGCGGCGGACGGGUGAGUAACACGUGGAUAACCUACCUAUAAGACUGGGAUAACUUCGGGAAACCGGAGCUAAUACCGGAUAAUAUAUUGAACCGCAUGGUUCAAUAGUGAAAGACGGUUUUGCUGUCACUUAUAGAUGGAUCCGCGCCGCAUUAGCUAGUUGGUAAGGUAACGGAUUACAAAGGCAACGAUGCGUAGCCGACCUGAGAGGGUGAUCGGCCACACUGGAACUGAGACACGGUCCAGACUCCUACGGGAGGCAGCAGUAGGGAAUCUUCCGCAAUGGGCGAAAGCUUGACGGAGCAACGCCGCGUGAGUGAUGAAGGUCUUCGGAUCGUAAAACUCUGUUAUUAGGGAAGAACAAAUGUGUAAGUAACUAUGCACGUCUUGACGGUACCUAAUCAGAAAGCCACGGCUAACUACGUG